CCCUUAGAUGUUCUGGGCUGCACGCGCGCUACACUGAUGCGCUCAACGAGUUUUAACCUUGCCUGGAAAGGUUGGGUAAUCUUUUUAAAACGCAUCGUGAUGGGGAUAGAUUAUUGCAAUUAUUAAUCUUCAACGAGGAAUUCCUAGUAGACGCAAGUCAUCAACUUGCAUCGAUUACGUCCCUGCCCUUUGUACACACCGCCCGUCGCUACUACCGAUUGAAUGUUUUAGUGAGUUGCAUGGACUGAUUCGCUUGAUUGGGUUUCCUUUCUUGUGUUUCGGAAAGUGCCACAAACUUGAAUAUUUAGAGGAAGUAAAAGUCGUAACA
rnacentral:rRNA from 1 species